GGGAACCACAUGGCAGAUGGCUCCUGGUGUCCCCUGGAAGUCAGGUCUUGCUCUGUCACCCAGGCUGGAGUGUGUGGUGCGAUCAUGCCUCACAGCAGCCUUGACAUCCCCAGGCUCAGAUGAUCCUCCCACCUCAGCCUCCUGAGUAGCCGCGACUACAGGCGCAUGCCACCACACCCAGGGUCCCAUCCAGAUACCACAUGACACCCGGUUGUCCUGUCUUCGGAGGCUCCUCCUGGCUGGGACAGCUUCUCAGACUUUCCUUGCUGCGAUGGCUGCUCAAGCUUUGAGGAGUACAGACAGAAUACAUUUCAGCUCCAAAACCAGCAUUGUCUUUAAUGGGGACUCCUAGAGGCAUUCCCACCAAGUUAGGAACAAGACAGCACGCCCACUGUUACCAGCGUAAAUCAACAAUGUACCGGAGGUGCUAACCCACACAAUAAGGCAACAUCUCCAGCAUGAAGCCCACUGGCCUCAUGUCUGUACUUCUGGAGUCCAGGUGAGCAAAGGUCACCUGCCCACUGGACUUGGCCCACAUGGACUACACCUGAGCCACCAAUCCUCUUGGAGGCCUUCUUGCCUCUAUUUGCUGCAUUCCUUCUUCUCCCCUUUGGACUGCGAGCUCCUCAAGGGAACAGCCUAUAGCUUCCUAUUCAUCUCCCACUCACCCGACCUGCCACACUGGCCAGCCCACUGGAUGGGAGGUAACAGUGUGCUGGACAUUCUGAGGGCUGCAGGGGCCUCCUGUGGACCCUGCUCUCUUGCAGGUGACCCAUCAGUGCGCUGUACUUCUACAAAUUGUUGGAAUGGAGACUUUUUUUUUUUUCUAAGUUAUUUGAGUCAAAACGAUCUUGACGGGAAGCUGUUAGAGGUCUCAUGGAAAUAGGCCUGGAGGACAGGAUUUGGCUGAGGCUUUCAACUGACAUCAGACAAGACUGCAAUCAAGGGAAAGCAGACCUGGGGCCCACGGGCAAUCACAUGGGAUGAGAAAUACCAAAGAAUGUGACCAUCCAGGUAGCCGGGGGACACAGCUCCAAAAAAGUGAGAGUGGUGCUGGAUUAGCUCCAUUGGAGGAACUGGAGGUUCCAUUGGAUGGUGCUGGAUUAGUUCCAUUGCCGUUUGGCAAACCAGCUCUGGCAUGUACACGUGGCCACGGUACCCUUCGUACAACACGGGAAGAGAACAACAGGACGCCCAAGAGGCAUCUGGACAGCACACAGCAAACAGAAAGGCUGAACGCCCCC
ensembl:lncRNA novel transcript